UCAAUGUAGAAUAAAUGGACAAUAUAUACACACACACACACCCACAUACGAUGAUGAUGAUGAUGGAUGACCAAUUGAAUUGGUUGCUUUUAAUGCUUGAUUACAAACAAAGAAGAAGAAGAAGAAGAAGAAGAACAGAAAAAAGUUUUUAAAAACAUUGUUUUGUCUCACCAUUUAUCUCAUCAUUUCAUGAUGGUAUUUUCCAGUGAAUCAAAUAAUUUUAUUCCAUUUCCAGAUGAUAAUUUGCCAUUUCCCAAGUGAAAUCAUCAUGAAACGGAAUAAAUAAACACUAUGUAUAUAAUGAAUGGAUGAUAUGGUUCUUUUGAUUCUUGAAUUCCAUUUAUAAAUUUCCAAGUUCGAUUCAAUUCAACCACCACCACCACCACCACCACCACCACCACCAAUGAACAACCACUACCUUCAUAUUUGACUUUUAAACAGCGACAACAAUAAGGGAGGAAUUCUUUACAAAGAAAUUUUACAAUCUUCAUUUUUCAAAAAGAAAUUCCUUUCAUCCAAUUCAUCGUCAUCAUCAUCAUCAUCACCAUAAAAUGUCGAUCGACAAGAAUCUUUUUUUUCUUCUUCUUUCCGUUUUCGAUCAAUCAUACUGAGAAAAAAAAAUAGAAUCAAUAAUAUCUCUUGGUAAAACUGAUGAUGAUGACGAUGACCAUCACGGAAGCCAUAUGUAUACGGAUCAACAUAAGAAUUCAAAAUAUAUAAAGAAGUAAAAAAAAAUGAAUCAACCGAAUAAAAGUUUCAGAAUCACAAGACGGGGAAAAAAAUCGGAAAAUGAAAUGUUUUCAAUGAUGAUGAUGAUGAUGGAAUGAAAAUAGACCAGAUUCCCUCAUGGCCAAAUCAUAUAUACAACAACAACAAAAACAUCAAAACAAUAACCGAAAAUGAUGUCUAUCACAAUGAUGAUUAUGAUCAAGAUCAAGAUGGAAAAAAAUAGCAAAACAAAAAAAAAAACAAAUCUUAUACAUGUAUUAUAAUAUAACCAUAGACCAGACCAGACCAGACACCACCACUUUUCAUAAAUCCGAAUUCAUAAAGAGAAUAUAAGAAAUGUAGUUCAUGAUCCAGAAUCGUUCAUCUCUCUUUAUAUACAGCAAAAGCAUCAUCAUCAUCAUCAUCUAAUAUAAUAUAUAAAGAUGAACAAAAAAAAA